rnacentral:rRNA from 1 species
UACGUAGGGAGCAAGCGUUGUUCGGAUUUACUGGGCGUAAAGGGCGCGUAGGCGGCAAUUCAAGUCAUCUGUGAAAUCUCCGGGCUUAACUCGGAACGGUCAGAUGAUACUGUUUUGCUAGAGUGCAGAAGGGGCAAUCGGAAUUCUUGGUGUAGCGGUGAAAUGCGCAGAUAUCAGGAGGAACACCCGUAGCGAAGGCGGCACUCUGGGCCGGUACUGACGCUGAGGAGCGAAAGCGUGGGGAGCAAACAGG